CAAUGCUGGGACACUUAAUAUACCUUCCUUCUAAAUUAUCUCUUGGUUGCAGAAGGGCUAGAGUAUUUGUACAAGAUUACGGUGUGCUGCAUCUUCAGGGAAAACUAUAAUUGUGGAUAGAGGAUGAGUGGAGCCUGCUUUGGCUUGUGCUGGGUGAUAUCACUCCUGUGGCAACAGCCAUUUUCUUGCUGUUGUUUCCUGAGGCUGAUGGGAAGAGCUCUGCAGACUGUCAGGUGUCUGUUGUUCUACUGACUACAGGUGCAUUAUAAACCUUAAGAAAAUCUCAUCAGACUGCAGUAUUUUGUUCCAUUCUGAAAAUUCAUCUCAGAGGCUGAUUGUUGGCAAAAGACAGAAAGGUAAAAAGGAGCAGGAUUUUACUUAAGAACCACAUUUAGAGAGCCUUUAGAAAGAGUAUAGCACCUACUGUAGCCAGAAAGGUCCAUCUCUCCUGCUCAAUGCUAACUGCUAUAUAUCUCAGCUUCUCCCUCAGUAAUAGCUGCCCAGUCUCGUUUCUCAGAGUGUAGAGCAGGCCCUAGGUUACGACAGACUUCCUACCUCUCUUGCUGAUGCUAGUGUUUCAAAUAUUUGUGCUCUUCUUCAUGUAGAUUUAAUAUCACUUACGGUGGUAGUAUUGCUGCUAAUGAAGUAAAAAGCUGUAUGACUCAGGCACCUCCUCUGCAAGGACACUGAAUAGCAGUAUAAAGAUGCAGUUUAUGUGCAUGGAAGCGAGACAAUUUUGC